CGCGGCCUAUCAGCUUGUUGGUGGGGUAGUGGCCUACCAAGGCGACGACGGGUAGCCGGCCUGAGAGGGUGACCGGCCACACUGGGACUGAGACACGGCCCAGACUCCUACGGGGGGCAGCAGUGGGGAAUAUUGCGCAAUGGGCGGAAGCCUGACGCAGCGACGCCGCGUGGGGGAUGACGGCCUUCGGGUUGUAAACCUCUUUCAGCAGGGACGAAGCGGAAGUGACGGUACCUGCAGAAGAAGCACCGGCCAACUACGUGCCAGCAGCCGCGGUAAUACGUAGGGUGCAGGCGUUGUCCGGAAUUAUUGGGCGUAAAGAGCUCGUAGGCGGUUCGUCGCGUCGGCUGUGAAAACCUGAGGCACAACCUCAGGCCUGCAGUCGAUACGGGCGGACUUGAGUUCGGCAGGGGAGACUGGAAUUCCUGGUGUAGCGGUGAAAUGCGCAGAUAUCAGGAGGAACACCGGUGGCGAAGGCGGGUCUCUGGGCCGAAACUGACGCUGAGGAGCGAAAGCGUGGGGAGCGAACAGGAUUAGAUACCCUGGUAGUCCACGCCGUAAACGUUGGGCGCUAGGUGUGGGGGCCAUUCCACGGUCUCCGUGCCGCAGCUAACGCAUUAAGCGCCCCGCCUGGGGAGUACGG
rnacentral:rRNA from 1 species